GCGAAAGGGAUUAGAUACCCCUGUAGUCCACGCCGUAAACGUUGUGCACUCGCUAUUGGCGGCUUCGACCCCGUCAGUGGCUAAGCUGACGCGAUAAGUGCACCGCCUGAGGACUACGGCCGCAAGGCUACUACUCGAAGGAAUUGACGGGUCCCCGCACAAGCGGUGGAGCAUGUGGCUUAAUUCGAUGCAACGCGAAGAACCUUACCAGGCCUUGACAUGUGGUGGACCGCCCGCGAAAGCGGGCUUCUCUUCGGAGCCGCCUCACAGGUGCUGCAUGGCUGUCGUCAGCUCGUGUCGUGAGAUGUUCGGUUAAGUCCGUCAACGAGCGCAACCCCUGUCCUUAGUUGCCAUCAUUCAGUUGGGGACUCUAAGGAGACAAUCCCGCAUUCGCGGGAGGGAAGGUGGGGAUGAUGUCAAGUCAGUAUGGCCCUUACGGCCUGGGCUGCACACGUGCUACAAUGCCCGGUACAGUGGGAUGCUACUCCGCGAGGAGAUGCCAACCCUCAAAGCCGGGCCCAGUUCGGAUUGGAGUCUGCAACUCGACUCCAUGAAGCCGGAAUCGCUAGUAAUGGCGUAUCAGCAACGACGCCGUGAAUACGUUCCCGGGGAUUGUACACACCGCCCGUCACAUCAUGAAGCCGUUUUGCCCGAAGUACGU
rnacentral:rRNA from 1 species